rnacentral:rRNA from 1 species
AAAUUGAAGAGUUUGAUCAUGGCUCAGAUUGAACGCUGGCGGCAGGCCUAACACAUGCAAGUCGAGCGGAAACGAGUUAUCUGAACCUUCGGGGGACGAUAACGGCGUCGAGCGGCGGACGGGUGAGUAAUGCCUAGGAAAUUGCCCUGAUGUGGGGGAUAACCAUUGGAAACGAUGGCUAAUACCGCAUGAUGCCUACGGGCCAAAGAGGGGGACCUUCGGGCCUCUCGCGUCAGGAUAUGCCUAGGUGGGAUUAGCUAGUUGGUGAGGUAAGGGCUCACCAAGGCGACGAUCCCUAGCUGGUCUGAGAGGAUGAUCAGCCACACUGGAACUGAGACACGGUCCAGACUCCUACGGGAGGCAGCAGUGGGGAAUAUUGCACAAUGGGCGCAAGCCUGAUGCAGCCAUGCCGCGUGUGUGAAGAAGGCCUUCGGGUUGUAAAGCACUUUCAGUCGUGAGGAAGGUAGUGUAGUUAAUAGCUGCAUUAUUUGACGUUAGCGACAGAAGAAGCACCGGCUAACUCCGUGCCAGCAGCCGCGGUAAUACGGAGGGUGCGAGCGUUAAUCGGAAUUACUGGGCGUAAAGCGCAUGCAGGUGGUUUGUUAAGUCAGAUGUGAAAGCCCGGGGCUCAACCUCGGAAUUGCAUUUGAAACUGGCAGACUAGAGUACUGUAGAGGGGGGUAGAAUUUCAGGUGUAGCGGUGAAAUGCGUAGAGAUCUGAAGGAAUACCGGUGGCGAAGGCGGCCCCCUGGACAGAUACUGACACUCAGAUGCGAAAGCGUGGGGAGCAAACAGGAUUAGAUACCCUGGUAGUCCACGCCGUAAACGAUGUCUACUUGGAGGUUGUGGCCUUGAGCCGUGGCUUUCGGAGCUAACGCGUUAAGUAGACCGCCUGGGGAGUACGGUCGCAAGAUUAAAACUCAAAUGAAUUGACGGGGGCCCGCACAAGCGGUGGAGCAUGUGGUUUAAUUCGAUGCAACGCGAAGAACCUUACCUACUCUUGACAUCCAGAGAACUUUCCAGAGAUGGAUUGGUGCCUUCGGGAACUCUGAGACAGGUGCUGCAUGGCUGUCGUCAGCUCGUGUUGUGAAAUGUUGGGUUAAGUCCCGCAACGAGCGCAACCCUUA